rnacentral:rRNA from 1 species
ACUCAAAGGAAUAGACGGGGGCCCGCACAAGCAGCGGAGCAUGUGGUUUAAUUCGAAGCAACGCGAAGAACCUUACCAAGGCUUGACAUCCCGCGCAAGACAUGGAGACAUGUUGUCCUUCGGGCGCGGAGACAGGUGGUGCAUGGUUGUCGUCAGCUCGUGUCGUGAGAUGUUGGGUUAAGUCCCGCAACGAGCGCAACCCUUACGUUUAGUUGCCAUCAGGUAAAGCUGGGGACUCUGAACGGACUGCCGGGGACAACUCGGAGGAAGGUGGGGACGACGUCAAAUCAUCAUGCCCCUUACGUCUUGGGCUACACACGUGCUACAAUGGCCGUAACAAAGGGCAGCGAUAGGGUAACCUUAAGCGAAACCCGUAAAAGCGGUCUCAGUUCGGAUUGUGGGCUGCAACCCGCCCACAUGAAGUCGGAGUUGCUAGUAAUCGCGGAUCAGCAUGCCGCGGUGAAUGCGUUCCCGGGCCUUGUACACACCGCCCGU